GUGUUGGAUUUGUUUCUUAUCAUCCAGGGAAACACUUAUUGCUGGGCUACUUGGGACAUAUGAUGUCUGACGGCAUCCUAUAGGAAGAAACAGGUAUGACUGUCUUUGAUAACGUCGAGGAUUCUGCAACUGAAGAACAUGAUACUAGCUAGAAGGUUGUCAAAUAAUCAACCUCAGCCAAAAUGACAGUAAUGAAGCGAAAGAGAUGGGGGGAAAAAGGUAAUAUUUAUAUGGGUGAGCAUGGUUAUCAUCUGAAGAGGGUAACGGAUCAUAGUGAUAGUUCUCAUGCCAUGAAGUCGAGUCCUGACUCAGAAAGAUAUAAACCAUUUGUCUUGAGUAUUAGCACUCGAGUAUUAGUAAGGGAUGAAAAUGAUUGGGGAACAGAUGAACCUAUAAUAAAAACCCAUUUCAUAAGUGCUUGCUAUUUAACUAAAAUAGGGGAACAAUGAAAAUUAUGAGACCUAUUAACUGCAAAAGAUUCUUAUUGCAAAUUUGAUGGUGUGCAGCAACUUCCCAUUGAUGCGAUACUCCAUGCUGCGCCAUCCUUGUAGAUUCAAUGCGUCCCUGUCCUUUAUAAUAGCGGAGAAGGCU
rnacentral:lncRNA from 1 species